rnacentral:rRNA from 1 species
CUCCUACGGGAGGCAGCAGUGGGGAAUAUUGGGCAAUGGGGGAAACCCUGACCCAGCAACGCCGCGUGAAGGAAGAAGGCCUUCGGGUUGUAAACUUCUUUUACCAGGGGCGAAAGAAAUGACGGUACCUGGAGAAAAAGCAACGGCUAACUACGUGCCAGCAGCCGCGGUAAUACGUAGGUUGCGAGCGUUGUUCGGAUUUACUGGGUGUAAAGGGCGUGUAGGCGGAGAUGCAAGUUGGGAGUGAAAUCCAUGGGCUCAACCCAUGAACUGCUUCCAAAACUAUCACUCUUGAGUGCAGUAGAGGUAGGCGGAAUUCCUAGUGUAGCGGUGAAAUGCGUAGAUAUUAGGAGGAACACCAGUGGCGAAGGCGGCCUACUGGGCUGUAACUGACGCUGAGGCUCGAAAGCGUGGGUAGCAAACAGGAUUAGAUACCCUGGUAGUCCACGCCGUAAACGAUGAUUACUAGGUGUGGGGGGACUGACCCCUUCCGUGCCGGAGUAACACAAUAAGAAUCC